GUGUCAGCAGCCGCGGUAAUACGGAGGAUGCGAGCGUUAUCCGGAUUUAUUGGGUUUAAAGGGUGCGUAGGCGGAUUAAUAAGUCAGUGGUGAAAACCUUCAGCUUAACUGGAGACUUGCCAUUGAUACUGUUAGUCUUGAGUACGGUCAAGGUAGGCGGAAUGUGUAAUGUAGCGGUGAAAUGCUUAGAUAUUACACAGAACACCGAUUGCGAAGGCAGCUUACUGGGCCAUUACUGACGCUGAUGCACGAAAGCGUGGGGAGCGAACAGGAUUAGAUACCCUGGUAGUCCACGCCGUAAACGAUGAUCACUCGCUGUUGGCGAUACACAGUCAGCGGCUAAGCAAAAGCAUUAAGUGAUCCACCUGGGGAGUACGGCCGCAAGGCUGAAACUUAAAUGAAUUGACGGGG
rnacentral:rRNA from 1 species